rnacentral:lncRNA from 1 species
UUUUUUUUUUUUUUUUUUUUAUUGAAGUAAGAGCAUUGGAUCUUAACUUAUUCAUUCAACUGAAAUUAGAUCUUGUCGUUUAUAUCGUUGGAAAAGUUGUAAAAUCCGUUGCAAACGGACAUAAAAUUAAGGUAGGACUAAACGGAAAGUACUUGUAGAGUAGUUAUCCUACGUACUCUCUAAUUCCUAUAAACGGCAAGGCCAUUAGUUUCUUGCCACUUAUGGUAAUAACUAAAUUGAUUGAAUAUUUGCAGACAAAAUUUUCGUGUCUUUUAAGUUCGACGAUACCCAUUAUUUCUUUGUGCAUAUGUCGAACUGAAUAAAACCCUAUUUGAGCUUUGCUGAUAGGGCAACAGUAAAUUUAAGCUUCGUGACAACACGCAUAAAAGGUUGGUAUUUAUAAAAGCUUUGCUCAUUCGUGUGCUUACCGUUACAUUAACCGUACAAGAUUUUUUCGGGAUUUUCUUCGACAUAACUCAUCAGUAAGUUAUUUUGUUUUCUUUCUAAUAGUUGUCUCUAGGCCGUCAUUAACGUAGUGUUCGGAAAUUGACGAGACGACUCUAAAUGACCGGAAAAUGUGUAAUAUUCACUUAGCUAAGAUCUAAGACCGCAUAAUUUAUAACGUGUUCGGGAGAUAACAUGUUAAUUAAUAUCCCCAUGCUAGCAAUCAUAUAACACGGAAGAAAGAAGAAAAAAAUGCUGACUUGAAUCGACGAUAUGGAAAUUCACUUUUAACAAAUCUAUAUUAAAACUGGGAAUAAAAGAUAGAACGAUAAGAAAGCAAACCUGCACAAAUGGGAGCAGUACCAAAUUAAGAACUUCAUCGGGAGCUCGCCUAAAGCAUCUGGCUCAAUAAGCAGUACAAAAUUACGUAACAAAAUCUCGUAGUUAUGAAAGAGCAUAUAUAGAAACCGAUAGAAGUAUGACGACUAAGGUUAAAUUAACUUUUAAUUGGUUAAGAGUACGAAGGUUCAAUUUACGUGCACUACACGUAAUAACCUUGAUAACAGUCAUUAGCAUAUUUACGGCAACUGCACAAUCAAUGAAAACUUAAUCGUGUUGACAAGAUUAAAACAUCUUGGUAUGAGCCAAUUGAUCGGAUGCAAAGUCGAUUAAAAAAUGAAUUUGUAUCCCUGUUCGUUUCAUAUAAAUCAUCGAUAGAUUUCAAUUUAAGCUCUCCCUUCGGUAUAGAUAUUUCCAGCCAACAAAAUCUAAAUAUAGAUACGACGAGAUCACCAACAUAAGAAUUAAGUUUAUCUAACUUUUUCAUUUGAAGCCAAAUAAUUACGAGUUGCAUAAAAAACCGAACUUUCGUCGAUCCAACAACAUGUUCCUAAACUCGAUUCCAGUUAUUAACUAGGCUUUAUACCAGACCGUAAUAGGUGAGCAUAAUUUGCCAUAAUAAUAAUAAAAAUGUCAUAACAAAAUUCAACAUAAAACUCAGAGGGCAUAGGUGGGACAAUAUCACAAUAUUUUUUUUUUCCUUUUUCACACAAAAAUAAUUAAGUAUAUAUAUUAAUAAUAAUUAAAUUAAUAAAGAAAAGGAAAUACGAAAGGAAAAGGAAAGAGAAAAUUACUUCUUGGAGAGGCAAGCCCGAAUAUCGCAACCUUGUUUCUUACAUGGCUCUUUACUCGGCUGUCCCAAUUUACCAAACCCUAAUCCUCAAAAUUCCCCCCUUUUUGUUUCUCUUUCUUCACUACUUCCAGAAUUGAUCGGUGGCGUGCUACUGUUGAGAAAAUGGCAGUCAAAUCGAAUCGUUGAUGCUGGUUUUCUUUCAAUUUCGUCGAUUUCAGAAUGAUGAAUUACAGAGAUGAUUGAUCUGUGACUGUAUGUAUAAUAGUAGUACAAAAUUUAUUUUAUUUAUAAAAUUUUAUAAGUAAAUUAUAAAAUUUAUUUAUUUAUUAUUUUUUUAAUAAUUAUUUAAAUUAAGAGAGAUAUUGUUUUUGCAAUUUAACGCUUAGAUCAAGGGGCAACUAAAACAAAUCCCAAUUUUUUCUCACUUCAGUAUCUCCAAGUUUAAAACCAUUUUUUAUAGAAGUUUUUACAACUUUUUCUUAGUUUAAAACCAUAAAUAAAUAAAAAAUGCUAGCAAAGUACAAAAAUGCCCUUCAUCAACCAUAAUACAAUUUAUACAAACAAUUUUUUUAUUCCUCACUUCAAUACCAAGGAAAAAAAGAAAAACAAAUCCUCUCUUCUUCUCCCCAAACUCAAAUCCCUUAGAGCAUCCACAAUGGGCUCUUUAAAUGUAUUCUUUGUGUCAGAUUUUAGCCAAUCUUUAAAUUUGGAGAGGAAAAGCUCCUGUAGUGGGAAACUUUAUGCCUCUUCAUAACUCCCCAAAUCUUGAGAAAUGCUAACUAACUCCCCACAGAUAGGAGUGCAUUAACAAACAUUGCGGGGUCUGCUUUUGUUUUAUUUAUUUUUUAUUAUUCAAAUUAUUAUCUUUUUUGCUUUUCUUUUUGUUUUUAUUUCACGGUAUGUACAUUAAGGAAAUAAUGUACUAUUUAAUAAUUGUUUAAAUAAAAAUUACUAAUUACUUCCAUUUAUUUAUACUUAAUUAGCCUUAUUGUAAUAAAAAAACAAUUAACUCGUAAAUUUAAUUUUUUUUUAUUAUUUUCAUGAAUAGAUAAUUUUAUCAUUUCUAAAAUAGUAUUCAUCAAAUUAAUAAUCUUAUUUCAACUCAUUUGUAUUUUUUUGGCUAAUUAAUAUUUAUGUUAUUCGUAAAUUUUUUGAAUCUUUUAAAUAUUAUUUAUAUAUUUAUAGAAUUAAAAAAAUAAAUAUAAUUCAUAAUUAAAAAUAUAUAAAUAUAAUUUCAUAAUUAUAUUUUACUAAUUAAAUAUAUUUUACUAAUUAAAUAUAAAAAAUUAAAAAUAUAAUUUCAUAAUUAUUAUAUUAUAAUGAUUUUUUUUUAUUAAUAUUUAAUAUUUAGGAAGCCAUUGUAAGGAUGCACAAAACCACCUAUUGGAGCAUUUUGAAAUUUGGGGAGUUCUUAAGUGGGGUCCAUAGUUUAGAGAGGAGUAAAAAUGCAUAGGUGGCAUGUGGGGUCCACAGGUUAGGGAGGGAUUGUAGGGAGUACCGCUGUGGAUGCUCUUAAACCCUAUCUUCUUCAUCUUCUUAAAUCCUCCAAAACAUCUCCAAAUUCAAAAAAUCAAAACCUCACAAAACUUAUAAAAUGGAGUUAUAAGACAAUAAUAUGGUAGUAUGUAUGGAAAGAGAACCCAUUAAGGUAAGUAUCGAUGUUUUUUUUGAGCCUCGAAGUCGAUUUGGAAUUUUUUUUUGACCCCGUCGGCAAUUUUCGACACAUACAGGUCGAUUUUUUUGUCAAUUUUCGACACCAACGUGUCGAAAAAAAAUAAAAAAAAAAAAAAACACAAAUUUCGACAGGUAUGUGUCGAAAAAAUACUGUUGGUAAACAAUAAUUUUUUUUUUUUACCAAUAGUGUUUUUCGACACUUGCCUGUCGAAAUUGGGAGAAUUUUCAACAUGUAUGUGUCGAAAUUUGUUUUUUUUUUUUUUUGUUUUUUUUUCGACACGUUGGUGUCGAAAAUUGACCAAAUAAUCGACAUGUAUGUGUCGAAAAUUGCCGACGGGGUCAAAAAAAAAACUUCAAAAUCGACUUCGAAGCUCAAAAAAGACAUCGAUACUUACCUUAAUGUGUUCUCCUUUCAUAUAUACUACCAUAUUAUUGUCUUGUAACUCAAUUUUAUAAUUUUUGUGAGGUUUUAAUUUCUUUAGUUUUGAGAUUUUUUAGAAGGGGUUUUGGGGGAGGGAGAAGAAUGAGGUGGAGGAGGUGAGGGGUUUGUGAGUGAGGAGGGAAAUGGUUUUUUAGGGUUUUUGAUUAUUUGGUAUAUAAGAAAGAAAAAUAGUAUUUGUAAUAUUUUUUUGAUUUUAAUUUUCAUUAAGGGUAUUAAAGUAAUUUACAAUUAAUUAUUUAAUUUUUAUUUUUUUAUUAUUCAAGUAAGCAAAAGUUGGGAUUUGAAAUAGUGAUCCCCUUAGAUCAAACGUCGAAGUACACAUUGGGACAAUUUUUCAAAGGGUUACCCCUCGUACUCUGCCUGAGAAUCACUUUACUCCCUCGUACUCUCAAUUUCAUCGAUUUACCCCAUGUACUUGUACAAUUUCUCAAUACAGCCAUUUCCUUCAACUUUUGACAUUUUUUACUCUGACACCGUUUAGUCAACUCUGUAAAUUACGAAAUUGCCACUGCCUACAACGCGUCGUUUCUCCUCCGUUAAUAUUGUCAUUUCUUCUUCUCCCACCACUUCCCCUUCCAAGAUAUCCCCAAAUUGAACCCCUAACUUAGUAAAAAUUAAGACCCUAAAAUUGAUCGAUUCCACCCACUGCAAAAAAAAAAAUAUAUGAAUGUGUGAAACUUUCUCUUUUCUAAUCUCGAUAGUCAAAAUCGAAAAAAAUCAAUAUUUACGUCAAUAUUUUGACUCUUGACCAAAUGGCGUCAGAGUCAAAAUCGAAAAAAGUUGACGGAGAGGAUUGUAUUGAGAAAUUGUACAAGUAUAAGGGGGUAAAUCGACGAAAUUAAGAGUACAAGGGGGUAAAAUGGUUCUUGGACAUAGUACAAUGAGUAAAGUGGAAUUUACCAUUUUUCAAAUAUAUGAGGCAAAUGAUGCAAUUAGGAGUAGAAAUGGGUAAAGUGGAAUUUACCCUAUUAAAAAUACUAACAAUAUAAAUACCCAUUACAAUUUUCAAUUAUUUACUCGUUAAUUGAAAAUUAAUAAUAUUUGAUUUUUUUUAUAUUAUAAUAUUACUGUGAAUUGGUGAAUAAAUAUUUUUAUUCAAACUAUGAUCAAUAUAUAGGUAAAAGUACAAACUUGAUUCACAUUACUAGUGACACUUUUUUUUUUUUUCCAACUUAUUAUUUGGGAUGUGAUCGUCGCCACUUGGAUAUCUUGGGCUUCUCGUUCCACCGGGCGGAGACGAACUGCAAAUUCCCGAACUCUCCACCAUACACACACGAGAAUCUUUAGCAACCAUCGUCAUGCGAUAGAAGCUUGUUUUUUCUAGAAAAAGUAGCAUCCACAUUAAUCUCAAUCGUCCCCAUGGUGAAGGUUUCCAAACCGUUUCCUCAAGCUCAAAUGUCUACUCCCCAUACAAUAUCUGGUUACGACGAUCCCAUAUCUGCCAGUAUACCACCACUGCCACCAAGAACGAUACAACAACAAUUGAUAUCCUAAUCAUGAACAAGAAGUGCAUGCACAACCACGUUGCAUCCGACAUAAGAGGGCAAGAAAUAUAGAUAAUAAUCCCACAUGCCCAACUCUACAUUUAAUAUUCUUUGAUUUCAUGAUUUAAAGUUUUGUGUUCAUUCCAUAUUCGGUAAAUUGAUUGAAUUCAGAUCUAACAAACAACCAAACAAUAGUUUUUUUUACAAAGUUAUAUAUCAAUGUCAUAUACAAUGCACAAAUUUUGCACUAAUGAACUUGGACACAAAAUUAGCACUAAUAAACUUGGCACAAAUCCUGUACUAAAGAAGAAGAAAAAAACAGUCUUAACUGAAUUACAAUAUUAUUAUUCCUCAACAAAUAAAUCAAUCAAAUGCCAUUUUUUCUCACAAGAACCACAUAUACUGAAAGCUCGCUAAAAAACAAGUCUAAUUUCUAGAGCUCGCUCAAAUGUUUCAUCUUAAAGAAAUCUAAAAGCACAAUCAAUUGCACGUAAAAAUUGAAAUUGCGCUCCCAACAUUUAUUUCACUGUCAAUAUAAACUCACCACUCCAUCAUUUCAUUUCACUCACCAUUUAAACUACACAGUCUGCAAUCAAAAAAAGAAAAAAAAAUGCAUUUGUGAAAAGAAAUGGCGACUGACAAUGUAUUGAAAGUGGAAGUGCUAUACAAAGAGUGCAUGCAUCACAACCAUGCAGCUGAUCUCGCGAGGCCAUGCUUUGUGCCGCCUGCAAGGGGUCGACCCGCGACUCGCGCAAAGAGAAUAACGAGGGCCCAAAGCGAAAUGGUCAGGGCCUUGAGUGAGAGGAAUGACUGGAAAAUGUUCUGGGAGUACUCUCAGGCUGAGGUUUUACGUAUUUGUUCCGAUUUCGGAAUAACUAAACUGGCGCUAAAAAAUUGCACUCUCAACACAGCCGGAAAAGAACACCUGCAAUAGAUCAACAAUAGGGUUUUCGGGGUGUUUUCUCUUUGUGUUUUUUCAGUUCCUAGGUUUAAAGGGAAGCUAGCAAAAUUAAGAUAGAGCGGACAGUGCACUAAUAUUGCACAUUGCGCUAAUAUUGCACAGUAUAACUAAAAACAUAUUACUUCUACCAUUCUAAUUUACAUUAUUACAAUUCCUUCUUCGGACUCUUCACAAUCAAGAAACGAAAUCAUUCGUACCAAACACCACUAUCUAGCAGCUUGUUAACCUAGACAGACUACAAGUGUUGUACAAGCAAAAUAUGACGAUCACUACCAAUUAAAAACUAAUUCAAAUUAUCUUGGUUACUCUGUUUGGAGUUAAUAUUAUCACAACUUCGUUCACCUAGAAUUCCCAAAUCGAACUUCCAAUUUAUUUACUCUCGACAUUUCUAGGUUAUUAUAUAUCAGUAUCUCUAACAAAGGAGUUACCAAAAUCAUACGCCAAUGAAUCAUUUCCUAAGAUUCUUUAUACACAAAUAAUAAGUUAAUCUUACAACAUAACCAAUCUAACAAAGUCAGGAGAAUAUCCUUUAUCAUUCUCAUCAACAAUGCCGAAAGCCAAUUAUUUAUCGGUAUCGACUUUGAAUAUCUGCAUAUCGUAAAUCAUAUAUUUACACCAAAUGAAUGAGAAAAUUCAAGUAUACAAUCUUAGUAUAUUUAGUACAGAGGAUCAAGAACUUACUUAUCUUACAUUCUGCCAACAUCUGUAAAAUGAAAUAUUGCUAAACGAGGCAAAAUAUUAUUUAUGAGGCAAAAUAUUAUGUAGUACCCUAAUAAAGAUUUGUUAUUCCAACGAUCAUUUAUUUCUUAUUUUCGUGAUAUUUGUAGGUAAAUAUUAAAAUCAUAAAUUACUGUAAAACAAAAUGUUAAAAUGUCUUCAUGAUUGUGACGUCAUAAUUAAAUGAAAUUAAUAAAAUCUGAUCCUGCAAAGUUAUCUUUGACUGCAAAAUCAAUAUUUAUGCAUUACUAUCAAAACUCAAAUCUGAGUCUGUAAAAUAAUUUUAAAUUAUAAAAUAUAUUCGUUUGAAUAUUAUAUAUAAAGUAAAUAGAGUGAAUGUAUAUAUAAUUAUAUAUUGUGAGUCUAAGUAUAAUUUAAUGAAAAUCUAUGUUAUGGAUUACAACUCGAGAAUAAUGAAAAUCUUGAUUAUGGAUUCAUUAAUUAAUAUUUUUCAAUUUCAUAAUCCACUAUUUUCUAAAAUGGAUUAACCAUAAUCCAAAAUUUACAAAAAUAAGAUUACACCUCAACCCUCACUUCACUCUCUAUAUAAAGUCACCACUCUCCUUCAUUUCAUUUCAUUCAUCAUCUAAAAAAACACAUUCUGCAGUAAAAAAAAAGAAAAAAUCUGCAUUCUUGAAAAGAAAUGGCCAAUGACAAUGCAUUGAAAGUGGAAAUGCUAGUCAUAUACAAAAAGUGUAUGCACAACCAUGCAGCCUCCACCAGAGGAUUCCUCCUCGACGGCUGCGGCCUCUUCGAGGCCCCUAGCGGCACCACCGCCGGGUCCCGCGAGGCCAUGUUCUGUGCCGUCUGCGGCUGCCACCGCAACUUCCACCAGAGAGUCGCGGUGGAAAUUCCACAACACUACCACUCCUCCCGCUCCUCCUCCGCCUCGCAACUCCACCAACAACAACAGCCCGCCUCCCACCCCCACCACCACCACCGUGGUGGCAGAGGCAACAUGAUCAUUUGCCGCGAACCGGCCUCUGCACAGGGCCGCUUCGCUCUCGAGUAGGCGGCGGCUCGUCGGCAGACGCCGGCAGCGAGCCCCGCCCUGACCACCUCUCCGGCCACCAGACAUGUACAGAGCCGAGCCCCACAUCGACAUGCGUCGGGCACCUCUGCACGACAGGGAGUGCCACCUCAGCAUGGGGUGCGUGCUACGCGCGCAAAGAGAAUAACGAGGGCCCAAAGCGAAAUGGUGAGGACCUUGACUGAGAGGAACAACUGGAAAAUGUUCCGGGAGUACUCUCAGGCCGAGGUUUUACGUAUUUGUUCCGAUUUCGGAAUAACUACACUGGCCCUCAAAAACUGCAUCUCUUCUCUACACAGGCGAAGAAGAAAAGCUGCAAUAGAUCAACACCAGGGUUUUCGUUUUAGUUUUUUUUUUCGGUUCCUAGGUCCAAAGAGAACUAGUGUUUAUUGUAAUAGAUGUAAUCUGUGUACUGAGAUGAUACUUGUCUUUAUCUUCCUUGUCCAAAAUUCAACUACACUAAUUAAAUUAUGAUAGAGCGAGCCGACACUGCACUAAUAUUGCUCAUAUAACUAAAAACGAAUUUCUUCAAACCAUUCUAAUGUAACCAGAAAAACAAAAUCAUUUGUGCCAAACAUCUCUAGCAUGUUAACCUAAGAAGUUGUUGGUUAUAGAAACAAAAUAUAUACCGAUAAAUGAAAAUAUAAGAAAAGAGACCAAAUAAAAUAACUUCAAUAGCUCGAAACUCACACCAAGAAUGCACAUAACAAGAUAUUCUAUAUGCACAAAUUCUGCACCGAUCAACUUGACACAAAAUCAUCGCAGUUUUCUGUUUUUCUCAUGAUGCAAAACAUACUAUUUAUUUUUUUCAGCUACUCUUGCUUAACUUUUAUGAGAAGACCAAGAAAUGAAUUGCGCAAAAGGUGGUAAAAAAAUGCACUAAGCUUGUCAUACGAACCCAACUCAUUCCCUUUCGUUAUCAUGAUCUUCUACUCUUCAAAUGACUACCAAUAACGUACAAUAAUAACCUAAGACAGUUCUCCUGCACGUAAGAAAAGGAUAAUGAGGGCAUAAAGUGAAAUGGUGAGGGCUCUGUCUGAGAGGAACGGCUGGAAGAUGUUUCGGGAGUACUCUCAGGCGGAGGUUUUACGUAUUUGUUAUGAUUUUGGAAUAACUAAAACAGUGCUCAAAAACUGCAGUUUUCAACACAUGGCGAAAACGAGCAGCUGCAACGCUGUUGGCUGCUGAAAAUCAACAGUACGGUUUUAUCUUUAGAUACAUUAAUUUUAAAAUUGAAUGGUUACUUCUUAAGUUUAAAGCAUUGUUGUUUAUACUGUUUAUCAUGACACAGAUUUUUAUAUAUCUUAUCAGAACCAUCUACCAUUCUCUUCAUUUUCAUUGUCCAAAAUUCACAAAAUCAAUAUACAAUUACCUAAACUAAUUAAAUGAGGAUAGAGCGAGCGGCACUGCACUAAUAUUGCACAUUGCACUAAUAUUGCACAGUAUAACUAAAAACAGAUUUCUUGUACCGUUCUACUUUAAUUAUCACAAGUUCGUUCACCUAGGAUUUCCAAAUCGAACUUCCAAUUUAUUUUUUUCUCGACAUUUCUAUUUACGCAGCCACGUGCUAGGUUAUUCUAUAUCAGCAUCUCCAGAGGAAUUACGAAAACGAUACGCUAAUGAAUCGGAUCCUAAGAUUGUUUAUACACAAAUAAUAAGUUAAUCUUACAACCAAUCUAAUAAGUUACUCCAAUAAGGUGAAUAUUAAAUUGAUUACAAGACGGAAUCGAAAGACAUUACUAUGGAGUUUCUUGUUGCUAACCGAAAACCUAGAAUAAGUAAUGGAUACUAUAAUAAGAUUAGGUUACGUUUACGUUAAUAAGUUCUCUUACAUUUCUAAAGGGUUUUUUCUUUCUUUCUUUUUUUGUAAUGAUCCGAUACCCGUCAGCAUACUAACACUGUCACCACGAAUGAUACAACGGAAGUCGAAAUCCUAGUCAUGUACAAGAAGUGUAUGCACAAACACGCAGCAUCCAACAUGCUCCAAACCCUGUAAUAUGAGAGCAAUAAAUAUAGAUAAUCACACAUGCUCAACUCUACAUUUAAUAUUUUUUUUAUUUCAUGUUUUAAAGUUUGUGUUUAUUCUAUCAUCCUUAAAUUGAUUAAAUUUAGAUCUAACAAACAACCAAACAAUAGUUUGUUUUACAAACUUAUAUAUCAAUGGAAUAUAGAAUGAACAAAUUCUGCACUAAUGAACAUGGGCACAAAAUUAGCACAUUUAUGACUACAAAAAAGAAAAAAAAAAACAGUCUUAACUAAAUAACACACACACACACACACAUAUAUAUCUAUAUCCCUCGACAAAUAAACCGACCAAAUGCCAUUUUUCUUACAAGAACAAAUAUACCGAAGCUCGCUAAAAAUGUUUCACCAUAAAAAAAUCUAAAAGCACGAUCAAUUGCAUGUUCUAAUUGCACAAAAAAUGCACAAACUAUGCACCAAUCAACUUGACACAAAAUCAUCACAAGUUUCCGUUUGUACAUUCUCAUGAUGCAAACAUACUAUUGUUUCAGCUACUCUUGCUCGAACUUAAAUUAGAACACCAAAAAAUAAAUUGCGCAAAAGGUGGUCAACAAUAACCCAAGACAAUUCACCUGCACGUAAAAGAUAUUCUGUAUGUACUGAGAUGUAUAAAUCUCUGAUUUUCAAUUGUUUUUUUUUUAUUGAAAUUACACGAACGAAUGAGAUUACACGUAAAAAAAUAAAACUGCACUCUCAACACUCAUUUCACUGUCAAUAUAAACUCACCACUCCAUCAUUUCAUUUCACUCACCAUCUAAAAAAACACAUUAUGCAGUCAAAAUAGAAAAAAAAAGAGUGCAUGCACAACAUGCAGCCCCUAACAGAGGAUCCCGCGAGGCGGGGCUGCGGCCACAAAGAGAAUAACGAGGGGCCAAAGCGAAAUGGUCAAGGCCUUGACUGAGAGGAACAACUGGAAAAUGUUCCGGGAGUACUCUCAGGCUGAGGUUUUACGUAUUUGUUCCUAUUUCGGAAUAACUACACUGGUCCUCAAAAACUGCAUCUCUCUACACAGGCGAAAAAGCAAAGCUGCAAUAGAUCAACACUAGGGUUUUCGUUUUCGUUUUUCUUUCAGUUCCUAGGGUUAAAGGGAACUAGUAUUUGUUGUAAUAGAUGUAUUGUAUGUACUGAGAUGUAUACAUCUCUAGGUACAAUUAGUUAUAUAUUCAAUAGAAGAACCAUAGAUACUUCUCUUCAUUUCCUUGUCCAAAAUUCAACUACACUUGAGAUUCACAAAAUCAAUAUACAAUUACCUAUAGUAAUUAAAUUAUGAUAGAGCGAGCCGACAAUGCACUAAUAUUGCGCAUUGCGCUAAUAUUGCUUAAUACAACUAAAAACAUACUUCUUCCACCAUUCUAAUUUACACUAUUAUAAUCCACUCUUCGAAAUCAAGAAAAAAAAUUAUUUGUACCAAAAAUCUCUAGCAUGCUAACCUAAGAAGUUGUUGGUUAUAGAAAAAAAAUAUAUACCGAUAAAUGAAAAUAAAAUAAAAGAGACCAAAUAAAAUAACUUCAAUCGCUCCAAACUCACACAAAAAAUGCACAUAACAAGAUAUUCUAUAUGCACAAAUUCUGCAGCAAUCAACUUGACACAAAAUGAUCACAGUUUUCUGUUUUUACAUUCUCGUGAUACUAUUUUUUCAGCAACUCUUGCUCAACUUGUAUGAGAAGACCAAGAAAUGAAUUGCGCAAAAGGUGAUAAAGAAAUGCACUAACCUUAUCAUAAUUAAUAACCCAACUCAUUCCCUUUCUUUAUCUUCUUCUCCAGCUCAUUUCUUUCAUUAUUAAUAAAAAAAUGGCUACCAAUAACGUACAUCAAUAACCUAAGACAGUUAUCUUGCACGUAAGAAGAGUAUAACGAGGGCACAAAGUGAAACGGUGAGGGCUCUGUCUGAGAGGAACAACUGGAAUACGUUCCGGUGGUACUCUCAGGCAGAGGUUUUACGUAUUUGUUUCAAUUUCGGAAUAACUACACUGGCACUCAAAAACUGCAUCUCUCUACACAGCUGCAAUAGAUCAACAGUAGGGUUUCCGUUUUUCUUUUCCUUUUUUUUUUCAGUUCCUAGGUUUAAAGGGAAGCUAGCAAAAUUAAGAUAUAGCGGGAAAUGCACUAAUAUUGCACAUUGCGCUAAUAUUGCACAGUUCAACUAAUUUACAUUAUUACAAUUCAGUCUUCAGACCCUUCACAAUCAAGAAACGAAAUCAUUCGUACCAAACACCACUAUCUAGCAGCUUGUUAACCUAGACUACAAGUGUUAUACAAGCAAAAUAUGACAAUCACUACCAAUUAAAUACUAAUUCAAAUUAUCUUGGUUACUCUGUUUGGAGUUAAUAUUAUCACAGCUUCGUUCACCUAGAAUUCCCAAAUCGAUCUUCCAAUUUGUUUUCUCUCGACAUUUCUAUUUACGCAACCACGUGCUAGGUUAUUCUAUAUCAGUAUCUCUAACAGAGGAGUUGCCAAAAUCAUACGCUAAUGAAUCAUAUCCUAAGAUUGUUUUGUACACAAAUAAUAAGUUAAUCUUACAAGCAAUCUAACAAAGUCAUGAGAAUAUCAAGAAGACGUACCUAUAGAUCAUCAAAUUCAUUCAAGAAAAGGCAAAUGUGUGGUAAUUUUUACUACGGAAUUUCUUGAUGCUAGCUGCUACAAAGGAUUCGAUGUAGGCAUUAUUUUUUUUAUUUUUUUUUUAGAGAGAGAUGUAGGCAUUAUUUGAAUGCUAAGAAGAUAUAGGCAAGAACUGGAAAACCUAGAAUAAGUAAUAAUUACUACAAUAAGUUUAGGUUACGUUUACGUUAAUAAGUUCUCUUACAUUUCUAAAUGGUUUUUUUGUUUUUUCUUUUUUUUUUUCUUUUUUUUUUUUUUUUUGGGUUUUCUCUCUCUCUUUUUUGUAAUUUAACCUCAUUAAGGACAUAUUACGAACUAAUAAACGUUUGCAUGUAUGUACGUUUAUCUAUAUUAGCGAAUCAGAUUUUGAGAUAUUCAUGCUUUAGAGUCGUACCCGGGUUAUUUCUACAUUCCUCACUUCCUAGUACAUCCUCUGUCCUUCUCAUCAACAAUGCCGAAAACCAGUUAUUCAUCGGUAUUGACUUUGAAUAUCUGCACACCGUAAAUCAUAUACAAUUACCAACUGAAUGAGAAAAUUCAAAUGUACAAUCUUAGUAUGUAUGUUUUAGUAGAGAGGAUCAAGAACUUACUAAUCUUACAUUCUGCUAACAGCUGUAAAAUGAAAUAUUGUUAAACGAGGCAAAAAGACAGUUAAAUAGAACAAAAGGUGAAACGAAAAACGGAUAUUAUAUUAUAAAUGUAAUAGUUAGCCAAAAAAAUAAAAUUGAAAAUUAAAAAUCGAAUCAAUAAUUGAAAUCUCGUAUAUAUUCCAAUUCCUACAAAAACAAUACAAAAUUUGAAAAAAAAAAUCAAAAUAAAAAAUGAAAAAUAUUAUUCCAAAAUAAAAAUAUUAAAAAUUAAUAUAUGUGGUUCGAAUUAGAGGAAAAUCAAAAAUUUCGUUCUAAUUUGCAUCCUCAUUCACAAAAUCUCUUUAACUAUAAUUGUAUUGCACAAAAAAGCAUUAUUCUUAAUUGCAAUAAAGUUCGGAAGUUAAGAACGGUCGGAGUUAUCGGAAGAUGACGGAUUUUUUCCGACCGAUAACAUGUUGCAUUUAUUUAUUUGUUUCCAAUUAUCUUUAAGUUUAAACUAAAUAGCAAUUAAUACGUAUAACCAAUGAUGAUGCGUAAAGGAUUUACGAUUUACCCUAGCCAAAACUACGUGGCUGCGUGUCCCUAAUGAUCACGAGAGCUUAUCGACAUAAAUGGUAAAUUUAACGAACAACGUAAAUACCGACCAACGGUUCAUAGUUUAGGAGGCAAAAAUAUUAUUUACCCUAAUAAUGAUUGUUAUUCCAACGGUCAUUUAUUUCUUAUUUUCGUGAUAAGGAAUAAUAUCUUAAUCAGUCGAUAUUUACCUACAAAUAUUUACAGUAAGAAGUAAAAAAUGAGUAAAAUUGUAUAAGAAAAUAUUUACCUACAAAUAUUAUAUUUGACUGAUAUUAAGUCAAAAUCAUAGAUUACUGUAAAACAAAAUGUUAUGAUGUCUUCAUGAUUGUGACGUCAUAAUUAAAUGAAAUUAAUAAAAUCUGAUCCUGCAAAGUUAUCUUUGACUGCAAAAUCAAUAUUUAUGCAUUACUAUUCAAAACUCAAAUCUGAGUCUGUAAUAUGAUUUUAAAUUAUAAAAUACAUUCGUUUGAAUUUUAUAAAGAAAGUAAAUAGAGUGAACAUAUAUAUUACGAGUCUGAAUAGAAUUUAAUGAAAAUCUAUUUUAUGGAUUAAACGUAAUUAAAUAAUAAGUACAUUAAAAAAACAAAUUAAAAGCAAAAGUUUAUAUAACAUAUAAUUUAAUCCAACCAAAAAUGGGAAAAACUUAAAUUGUAUUGCUAAAUGUUUAAUGAAAAUAUUUUUAAUAAAAAGAAAAAGAAAAAGAAAAUCCCAUUUCAGUAUUUCAGUAAGUAAAUCACUAAAUCUGGAAUACAGAUAUCAAGAAUUGAAAUCCAAUACAGGAAUAAGACUACACCUCAACCCUCAUUUCACUCUAUAUAAACUCACCACUCUCCUUCAUUUCAUUUCACUCACCAUGGAAAAAACACACACUGCAGUCAAAAAGAAAAAAAAAAAGAAAAAAAAAGAAAAAAAAACAUUCUGCAUUCUUGAAAAGAAAUGGCGACUGACAAUGCAUUGAAAGUGGAAAUGCUAGUAAUGUACAAAGAGUGCAUACACAACCAUGCAGCCUCCAACAGAGGAUUUCUCCUCGACGGCUGCGGCCUCUUCGAGGGCCCUAGCGGCACCACCACCGGGUCCCGCGAGGCCAUGCUCUGUGCUGUCUGCGGCUGCCACCGCAACUUCCACCAGAGAGUCGUAGUGGAAAUUCCGCAACACCACCGCUCCUCCUCCAUCCGCCACCAACAAUAACAACAACAACAGCCUCGCACCCCGACCAACAACAACAGCCCACUUUGCACCCCCACCAACCACAACAGCCCGCCUCGCACCCCCACCAACCACAACAGCCUGCCUCGCACCACCAGGAGGCAGCGGCAGAGGCACCAUGAUCAUUCGCCGCGAACCAGCCUCUGCACCAGGCCGCUUCGCUCCCGAGCAGGCGGCGGUUCGUCGGCAGAGGCGGGCCCCACAUCGACAUGCGGAGGGCACUUCUGCUGCACCACAGGGAGUGCCACCUCAACAUGGGGUGCGUGCCCCCCGCAGAAAGAGAAUAACGAGGGCCCAAAGCGAAAUGGUGAGGGCCUUGACUGGGAGGAACGACUGGAAAAUGUUCCGGGAGUACUCUCAGGCUGAGGUUUUACGUAUUUGUUCCGAUUUCGGAAUAACUACACUGGCCCUAAAAAACUGCAUCUCUCUACACAGGCGAAAAAGAAAAGCUGAAAUAGAUCAACACUAGGGUUUUCGUUUUAGUUUUUUUUUUCGGUUCCUAGGUUUAAAGGGAACUAGAGUUUCUUGUGUAAUAGAUGCAUUGUAUGUGCUGAGAUGUAUACAUCUCUGAUUUACAAUUCGUCUUUUUUUUUUUUUUUUAAUUGAAGUAAGAGCUUCGGAUCUCAACUUAUUCAUCCAACUGAAAUUAGAUCUUAUCGUUUAUAUCGUUGGAAAAGUUGUAGAAUCCGUUGCUAACGAACAUUAAUUAAGGUAGGAGUAAAACGGAAAGUACUUGUAGAGUACUAGUUAUCUUACGUACUCUCUAACUCCUAUAGACGACCAGGCCCGUUAAUUUCUUGCCAUCUAAGGUAUUAAAUAAAUCGAUUAAAUAUUUGCAGACCAAAUUUUAGUGCCUUUUAACUCCGACGACGCGACAACCAUUAUUUCUUUGUGCAUAUGUCGAACUCUGAAUAAAACCCUAUUUAAGCUUCACUGAUAGGGCUUCAGUAAAUUUAAGCUUCGUGAGAACAUGUAUAAAAGGUUGCUAUUUAUAAGUUUCUGCCGCUUUUUAGUACACUGCUUAUUCGUGUGCUUACCAAAUCUUAUACUGCAAUCAGUUACCGUUAUAUUGAUCGUACAAGAUUUUUUCGGAAUUUUCUUUGACGCAACUCAUCAGUAAGUUAUUUUGUUUUCUUUCUAAAAGUUGUCUCUAGACAGUCAUUAAUGUAGUGUACGAAAAUUGACGAGGCGACUCUAAAUGACCGGAAAAUGUGUAAUAAUCAGUUAGCUAAGAUCUAAGACCGCAUAAUUUAUAACGUGUUCUGGGAGAUAACAUGUCAAUUAAUAUCCCCAUGCAUGCAAUCAUAUAACACGGAAGAUGAGGACACCUUACGACUGUAAGGGUUAUAAUUAAAUUCAUUUAUAUAACGCGUUCAACUUUUUGCAAAAUAAACUAACAAAAGGUAAAGUCAUUUAUAGAAGCCGAUUCUUACUUCGGUAGUAUUUUCACCAUACACAAGUUAUAUUGCCAUUUAAAGAAAGAAAAAAUGCUGACUUGAAUCGACGAUAUGGA